UACGUAGGGGGCGAGCGUUGUCCGGAAUCAUUGGGCGUAAAGCGCGUGUAGGCGGCUUGGUCAGUCUGGUGUGAAAACUCGGGGCUUAACCCCUAGCCUGCACUGGAUACUGCCAAGCUUGAGUCCGGGAGGGGAGAGCGGAAUUCCUAGUGUAGCGGUGAAAUGCGCAGAUAUUAGGAAGAACACCGGUGGCGAAGGCGGCUCUCUGGAACGGUACUGACGCUGAGACGCGAAAGCGUGGGGAG
rnacentral:rRNA from 1 species